UCCACCGGCCUCAGCCUCCCAAAGUGCCGGGAUUACAGGCGUGAGCCACCGCACCUGGCCAGGGAUGCAAUUCUAAGUCCUAGCACUCUGAUGAGCAUUCUUAUGUCACUUCACUAGCAGAGGGUGGUUCUAGUACCAUCAUGCAGCUGUUGCAAGGAUCCAAGAAGAUUGUGUGAUUGAAACUUCAUGUGAUACAAACUGUAAAAGUUGGGUAUAGCUUAAUUUCGCAGAAGCUAUUGGCUAACCCCAUGACUUUCGGCAAGUUAAACCACCUGUGAACCUCAGUAUCCACAGCGGUAAAAUAAGAAGUUUGGAAACUAUGAUGUACAAAGUCCUUUUCUGCUCUGAAAUUCUCCUAAAUUUCUUUGCUGUCAAACACCCCAACUCUCUUCUUUGACAGGGUAGAAGACAAUCCAUGAAGCUGCCACUAAAAAGGAUAAAAGGAACUAUGUGGGUUUAUGAUCACAACCAAUUAUGCUACUGCCAAAAGAAAAACAGCACUGAAUAUUUUAGUUUCUCAGAGGACGUGCAAUGUUUGAAAAUCAUCUUCCUUCUUGCAUUAAAAAAAAAAAGAAAAAGAAAAAAAGAAAAGUGGGAGAGCCAUCACAUUCUGUGCAUAACUUUUCUACUUAUAGACAAAAUUUUCAAUUCAUUUUUUUCCUUUCUGGAGGUGUGAGGGAAAAUUCCCAUAGCUGGAGGAGUGUGGAAGUCAGGGGACUGUAGGAGAAUGUAAGUGUGAUCGUGGGACUACACUUAAUUCAUUAAAAUGUGUGGUUUAUAAAAACCACUUUGCCAAAAAUGAGCUUUGUGGGAAGGAGAAGGCAGCAGGGAUAUGGAUGCGUGGGGGAAAGGGAGGAGUAAGAAGUGCCAAGAGAGAGGGAAGUCUUAUUUGUUGCUAAAUGUUGAAUCCCACAUAAGAAUAUGUCAUGAGCCAAUUUAGGAAAAUUAAAAUGCAACUUGGGGGAGUGAAAAUCUAUUAGGCACAGAUAUUACGUGUUGACAUUAUUAUCAUCCUAUUUUUAUAUAAAUUGUGAACAUUCUCCAGUAACUUUAAAAAGUUUGGGGAAACUUUUUUUUUUAAUUAUCCUCCUUUCACAUUUUCUCUCUUUUCCUAGGUGAAAUGGCAGUAAUAUAAGAACAUUGUGCUUUUAUUCCUUUCCUGUCACUACUGUGAAUUGUUUCGGAAACAAACUGCAUUUUUUAGGUUAACAUUGGCUGCUGUAACAAAUAAACCUCAAACUUUUGUGACUUAACACAACAACAGAAUUUUAUUUCUCAUUCACAGAACAGUCUGGUGGAAGUAUUCCCGGUGGGCACACCACUUUCCUCAAUGAGAUAACUCAAAGAUUGAGGCUCUGCUAUGGCUUGAAUGUGUCCCAUCCAAAAUUCGAGUGUUGCCAGUGUGAUUGAUAGUAUUCAAAGAUAGGGCCUUGAAGAAGUGAUUAGGCCAUAAGGUCUCUACUCUCAGGAAUGAUAUUAGCUGUCCUUAUAAUAGGUGUUGAUAGAGGAAGUUCAUCCCUUUUUGCCCUUCUGCUAUCUACCAUGUGAGGAUACAUCUCUUUUUCCCCUCAGGGGUUGCAGCAUUGAAGGCACCAUCUUGGAAGCAGAGACUAGACCCUCACCAAGCAAUUAACAUGCUGGUGCAUUGAUCUUGGACUUUCCAGCCUCCAGAACUGGAAGUCCCUGCAUGGACACUGCCAGCUUCAUUGCACUUCUGCCUCUAUGCUUUUUCCUGAACCUUCUCCACCUCUGGAACGUACUUCAGGCUGCACAGGGAGCAUGGCUGGGAGGCCUCAGGAAACUGAC
rnacentral:lncRNA from 1 species